rnacentral:rRNA from 1 species
CUACGGGUCGCUGCAGUGAGGAAUAUUGGACAAUGGAGGCAACUCUGAUCCAGCCAUGCCGCGUGCAGGAAGACGGCCCUAUGGGUUGUAAUCUGCUUUUAUACAGGAAGAAUGGUACCUACGUGUAGGUAUUUGACGGUACUGUACGAAUAAGGAUAGGCUAACUCCGUGCCAGCAGCCGCGGUAAUACGGAGGAUCCAAGCGUUAUCCGGAAUCAUUGGGUUUAAAGGGUCCGUAGGCGGUCUGAUAAGUCAGAGGUGAAAUCCUGCAGCUCAACUGUAGCAUUGCCUUUGAUACUGUUAGACUUGAGUUAUUGUGAAGUAGUUAGAAUGUGUGGUGUAGCGGUGAAAUGCAUAGAUAUCACACAGAAUACCGAUUGCGAAGGCAGAUUACUAACAAUACACUGACGCUGAGGGACGAAAGCGUGGGUAGCGAACAGGAUUAGAUACCCCGGUAGUC